CUGCGAGUGAAGCGGGAAAAGCUCAAAUUUAAAAUCUGGCGGUCUUUGGCCGUCCGAGUUGUAAUCUGGAGAAGCGUUUUCCGCGUCGGACCGUGUACAAGUCUCCUGGAACGGAGCGUCAUAGAGGGUGAGAAUCCCGUCUUUGACACGGACUGCCGAUGCUAUGUGAUGCGCUCUCAAAGAGUCGAGUUGUUUGGGAAUGCAGCUCAAAAUGGGUGGUAAAUUCCAUCUAAAGCUAAAUAUUGGCGAGAGACCGAUAGCGAACAAGUACCGUGAGGGAAAGAUGAAAAGAACUCUGGAAAGAGAGUUAAACAGUACGUGAAAUUGUUGAAAGGGAAACGCUUGAAGUCAGUCGCGUCUGCUGGGGAUCAACCUUGCUCUUUUGCUUGGUGUACUUCCUAGUUUGACGGGUCAGCAUCGGUUUUGAUUGCUGGAAAAAGGGUGGAGGAAUGUGGCAUCUUCGGGUGUGUUAUAGCCUCUGCUCUCAUACAGCGGUUGGGACCGAGGAACUCAGCACGCCUUUUUGGCCGGGGUUCGCCCACGUACGUGCU
rnacentral:rRNA from 1 species